rnacentral:rRNA from 1 species
UACGUAGGGGGCAAGCGUUGUCCGGAUUUAUUGGGCGUAAAGAGCGUGUAGGCGGCCGCACAGGUCCGUUGUGAAAACUGGAGGCUUAACCUCCAGACGUCGAUGGAAACCGUGCGGCUAGAGUCCGGAAGAGGAGAAUGGAAUUCCUGGUGUAGCGGUGAAAUGCGCAGAUAUCAGGAAGAACACCCGUGGCGAAGGCGGUUCUCUGGGACGGUACUGACGCUGAGACGCGAAAGCGUGGGGAGCGAACAGG